AGAUGACUGUUCCCAAGAUAUAUCUUCAAAUGACUGUUCCAAAGAUAUAUUUUUAGAUGACUGUCUAAAAAAAGAUUUAAGUAAAAAUGUUACCUACAAUUGCGUCAAAAAUAUUGAAAAUAUCUCUGAUAAUGAUAAAGAUCAAAGUGCUACACAUUGGGAACAUUCAGCAAUUAUGCUUCUUUUUUGUUUAUAUAAAGAUCAUCUUU